GUUUGACUCUGUACUAUGGUUAAUUGGUGAUGGACCAACUGGAAAUGGAGUCGCCGGAUGUCCCCGAGUGUCCUGUGUGCUUGCAGACCUACGACGGCGAGUACACAAUUCCACGCGUACUCGCCUGUGGACACACAACCUGCGAGUCAUGCCUUAAAAGCCUCCCUCAAAAGUACCCUCAGACAAUUCGCUGCCCGGCGUGUACCCAACUCGUCAAGUUCCCAUCCCAGGGCCCCUCUUUUCUUCCCAAAAAUAUCGACCUCCUCAGGCUAAUCCCCACCACCUCUCAACUUCAAAAUCCCCCAAAACCCCAUAACAAUGCCCAGAAUGACCUCCAACACCACCAUCUUCAAGUUGACUCUGUGUCUCGUUUAUGGUCUGAUGAGUUUUAUGCUACGUGGAAGAAUUGGGUUCUGCCCAAUGAUGGUGUUCUGGUUGAGGAGAAAAGGAAUGGAUUCGGGUGUUUGAAGGAGGAUAAUAGAAAGGUAAGGUUUUUUAAGCUUGCUGGUGUUUCUUUACCUGUCAAUGGGAGUGGCUCCGUUUUUAAGUUGAGUUAUGAUGCUUGGAUUAUGAAUUGUUUGUACGGAAUGAGAGAGGAGGUGAGAGAGCAAUUGAGUUUGAUUUUGAAAAUCUGUUCCAAAAACUCUAGGAUUUGUAAAGUUUAUGGCUUGUGGGCUGAUUUGGAACAUGGUGUUUUAUAUUUAGUUUGUGAGAGACUAAGUGGUGUUUUAGAUCAAUUGCCUCAGUUUGAAAAUGGUUUAACGGAAAAUGGUUUGUCCAGUUUUGCAAUGAUGGGAAUGGAAAUGUGUGAGGCAGUGAUUGCUUCGCAUUUGGAAGGCUUAUGUAUGGGUUGCUUAAGUUUGUCUUGUUUUGAAUUGGAUGAUUUUGGACAUGUAAAUCUAAGUUUGAGUGAGGUUUUGGUGACAGGAAGGGCUGUUCAUGAGGUCAUCAUGGAAGCUGGUUCUGAUGGGAGAAGGAUUUGUGAUAAGGAAAUAGGAAAAUUGGUAAGUGAAUCUUAUAAAAGGGGAGCCUUUUUGAGUCCAGAGAUGUUGUUUGAGAUAUUGAAGAAAGAUGCCAUAGAGGUAGAGUGUGUUAACUUUAGAUAUCCAGUUGUGCAUAGCUCGGACGUUUGGUCAUUGACAUGUAUUUUGCUUAGAUUUAUAAUUGGGAAACAAUUCACUGAAGAGCUGGUUGAUUAUGUGGAUCAUUUCAUUUCAAAAUCAAGUGAGGAGAACAGUUUGGAUUGUUCAGUUCUUUAUAUGGGUUUGAUGGAGAAAGUAAGAGCUAUGAUAGGAGGUAAAGUAGGUGAGGAAUGUGAAUCAUUGCAGAAGAUUCUGUGCAGAUGUUUGAAUUUUGACCCAGGGAGUCGCCCACUUGUAAUUGAUCUGUGGAAAUGUGUUCGAGAGUUUGUUAUUAAACUUCAGUUUGAUACUAUGCUCAGAUUGGAUAGGACUGUUCAUGAGAAGAGUAAGGGACAUUGCUUGGCGCUUGGUGAAUUUUCUCUAGUGCCCAAGAAAAUAUUAGAAAUACAUAAUAAAGAUGAGGUGCUGAGAGCAGACAACGGCAGUACAGAAAACCCAGAUCAAGUUGAGGGGGUUAGGGUUGACAAAGAUUUUGUUGAUGGUCUUUUGGAGGGAAAAGUCAAAUUGAAAAAUAUGCAGGGCCAUCUUGAUUGUGUAACAGGAUUAGCCGUUGGAGGUGUGAAGUUCUCAUCUAAUGCUUUUAGAUUGCAAGAUUAUGCUUUUUCAGUUAUUAAUCCAUUCCAUGACACUUCAUUUGUCACUUAAUAUUUUGUUUUGUGUUCAAUUCCUACCAUACUACGUGGGGGUCAUUCUCUUCCUUAUGAUAUAUGAAUAUUUUAAUUUAAAAUGCAAGCUUAGAGGUUGUUUUUUCAGUACAAAGAACACCAAGGUUGCUUUUUUUAGAUGACAUGGGGUGGGAGGUUCUGUUUGAUAUUGGCUUAUGACAUCUAUGCAAGUGCAUUCUUUUUGAUGCUUGAGUGCACAAGUCAUAUUAAUCACAUAGAAACUCCCACCAAAGUUUAUCUUCCUACUUUCCCCAGUUUCUUGGGCUGUAUCAGGUUUCUUAUGCGUGAUAUUUUGAAUCUUUAGAUUGUUGUUUGGUUUGUCCGUCAUCUCAUUUAGACGAGUACCUUUGCUGUUACUUUCAUUUGUUAGUUUCAAUAAUGGGUAAAAAUUCUCUGCCAUCCUCUAAGGGGAAGGAAAAAUAAAUAUAAUAAUGCUUCCAAGGUGAUCAGCUCGUUCCUGAAUGGACGGUGUUACUUUUUCAGGGGGAUUUUUGUUUAGCUCCUCAUUUGAUAAAUCAGUUCAAGUCUGGUCUUUGAAGGUAUGCACUAAAAAAUGCAUUGAUAAGAUUUUUCAUUGUCAUUCCUUCAACUUAUUCUGCAAUUUUUUCAUGCAGGAUUUCUCUCAUUUACAUACAUUUAAAGGUCAUGAACAUAAAGUAAUGGCUGUUAUUUAUGUUGACGAAGAACAACCAUUAUGCAUAAGUGGUGAUAGUGGAGGUGGCAUAUUUCUCUGGAGCCUUACUAUCCCUCUGAGGCAAGAACCAUUGAAGAAAUGGUAUGAGCAAAAAGAUUGGCGAUAUAGUGGAAUUCAUGCCUUGGCUACAGCGGGGAAUGGAUAUCUAUACACUGGAAGUGGAGAUAGGUCAAUUAAAGCAUGGUCAUUGCAAGAUGGCAUUCUAUCAAGCGCUAUGGAUGGUCAUAAAUCAGUAGUUUCCACAUUGGCAGCAUGUGAUGGAAUUCUCUAUAGUGGGAGUUGGGAUGGGACCAUUCGACUGUGGAGUCUAAGUGAUCAUAGUCUUUUGACAGUGUUAGGCGAAGAUGUGCCAGGAACUGUGACCUCUGUCUUGUCUCUUUUUGUUUCCCAGAAUCAGCUUGUUGCUGCACAUGAAAAUGGACAUUUAAAGGUAUGGAGAAAUGAUAUGUUUUUGAAAUCCAUGCAACCCCACAAUGGUGCCAUUUUUGCUAUUGGUAUGGAGGGGAGAUAUCUGUUUUCUGGAGGUUGGGACAAAGCUGUCAAUAUACAGGAAUUAUCAGGAGAUGAAUUUCAAGUAGAUACCAGAUCCAUUGGAUCAGUCCCUGGUGGUUCUGUCAUAACAUCUUUGUUAUACUCGCAAGGAAAGCUUUUUGUCGGUUAUGGUGAUAGAACUAUUAAGGUAUAUUACUAUGGAGAGUGAUCAAAUCUGGCCAGGUAAACGAUUUUUUUUUUUUUUUUUUUUU
rnacentral:misc_RNA from 1 species